CCAAGCUCAGGGCUUAAGAGAAAUCAGUUUAGUGACUAGAUUGCAAGGUUCAAGUGUUACGAGGCAAUAAUAUUGUUCUCGUCAUGUAGUGGAACCAUCACAGGAUGGAAAAGGCUACAAAAGAGAUGAAUGAAACGAAUGACUAGUAUCACAAGCUAGAAUACCAGGUAUGCAAAUUUCGGGACGAAAUUUAUUUUAAGGGGGGUAGUAUGUAAUGCCCCGCUCUUUUAAAUAUAUAUUAGAUUAAACAUGUGCAUUAGUUAUAAAAUUCUUUUAAUUAUUUAUUGUGACUAUUUUAUUCAGAUAAUAUUAUUUCAGCAAAAGUCUGUAUAAGAGAUACAGAGCUGCGAUUUAAUAUUCAAUCAUGAAUCAAACCAAUAAUUAAAUUAUUGGUUUAGCUACACGUUUGAGACCUUGCAUUACCAGUUGAUUGAUUUAAUCAAUAGUAUUAGAAAUUUUAGAUUUAUAACCGAUUUCAUAAAUCGUGUUAUUUAAAUCGAAUUGCUAGAAUUAUAACUCGAGUUUAUGUUAAUAAUAAUUUUAUUAUUUCACGCUUUAUAUGUUUAGUACUAAGUCGCGAAUUAAUUUCGACUUUCACGUAUUAAAUCUCAAGAUUGAGGAUUUAAUUUAUAUAAAUACGACGAGUAUUUAUUAAACGAGAAUUGGAGAAUUAUUACAGGAACUAGGAGAAACUAGAUCACGGCACUACACGUAUGUCUCGAUUUUUCAUCCAACACAUCAAUUCCUACACUAUUCCCUUGUUAGUCAAAAUGUUGGUGCUAACAAUUUGUCAAAAAAAAGUUGGUGGUUUGCAGAAAAUUUUGGCUGCUUUGGACUUUCACGUAUUCCAGUUUUGCUACAUGAUUUUUUUCAACCUUUGCUACAGUAACACUAUUCCAGUUUUGCCUAUAAAUUGCUAGGAUUCGCAGCAGUUUAAAAACACACCAAAGCAGAAAAUACUUCUUUCUGUUAGAGAGAGCAAGAGUAAGUUGAAGUAAAAUCUCAAAUACGAGAGUUUGAGGGUUUGAGACAAAAGCUUAGUUAGAAGCUUUUGGUGUGAGAAAAUUAGAUAGAAAUUUUCUCGGGGUAUAACGGGUUGUGAGUUGAGUGUUGUGAGUGUUGUAAACACUGUAUUUUUUUUUUUCUCCCUUUGUUAAAUAGAAGUGCAGCAAGAGGUGUGAGGCAAGAGAGAGUUUAGAAGAAUUUUUUUUUAAAUUUCUUACUUGCAAGAGCUCAAGUGAGCUCCCUUCGCCGGGCUGUUUCUUCGCCGACCGGCCACUAGGCUCUGAACCGAGAACGUGUACUCGUUCCUCCAUCUUCAGGCUACCAAACCCAACAAUCGAAAUGCCGAAGCCUUCUCUAUAUUUUCCUGACCAAAGGCCGCAAUAUCCUUCGGCGGCCAACGUCGAAUUCCCGACUUAGCCACCGGCCAACUUACGGCCUUCGUUUCUCACUAUCCUUACGACGAAAAAGGAUCGAGAAACCACCGUUGUGUAGCCUGAUCUACCUCGCACGAGGAAAACUAAGUAGUAGACCUUCGCGGCUAAACACCAUCGCGGAACGACGACCGGAAAACCCCCGACGGACAACUUCCAUUAGUGCUCACUUGGACAAGGGUUCAAAUAAACAAAAGCGUCUGAGUAACCUAUCGCGCUAAGGAAAGAGAAUCAUUGUCUUAAGUAGCAAAACACUGCAAUCAGGUUGAGCUGAUGUGAUGAUGGUGCUGCAAUGAGCGGAGUCUCCAGGGUUGUUAAUAAAUAGUUAACCUGUCUAGAAUAUGUCUUCAUACAUAUGUCUAGCUACUUUCCGCUGCAAGAUGUUGUUGAUGUUAUAGUAUGUUAUGUCAUACUUUGAGUCUUAAGAGAAUGGUUUCAUAUGAUGUAUAACUUGAUUAAUGAUAUUAAUUAAGUUUUAUGCUGUC